CUUGUUUGAUAAGGGCCAAUUUAAGUUGACUCGGUCAGCAAUCACUGACCCAUCUCAUGACUCGGUCCGUGCUUAAAAUAUGGCUGACCCAAGAAAAAGAAUUUUAUGCCCUAAAAUGAAUGCCUCAUCGUUCAGCUCUGUUCCUCAUUUCCUUCUUCCACCACAUGAACUUUAAUUCUAGCUCCUCACUCCUGCCAUGACGACGUCGCCUGAAGAAGAACGCUGACCUCCACCUAUCUUAGAACUGGCCUUCGCCUAUCUGCACAUACCGACGUCCGCUAGCCUCCGCCAAUCAGAUGUUGUUAUUGGUGCUACUUAUGAGGCUACUAUAUUCCAAAUAUACCUCAUCUUUUUGCAUCUUACAUGAUCGGAGUUACUCCUCAUUUCUUCUUGGCGGCUGCUAAAAUUGUGUGGGUUUGGACUAAAAUGCCCCUGAAGUUGAUGUCACAUACUUUUAAUUAUUAAUUGUUGCUAAAUUAUUAAUUUUUGCUAAGCUGUUCGAGAUCAUCCAAGUGGUAAAAGAUUUUUUGUUGGAAUUUUGUUACAUAGUACCUUGCCCUUGGUUGUUUGCCUCCUAAAGUACAAUGCCUUUUGCUGCUACAUCACAACGUCCGCCUCUCUUUAAGGGUCUCAUACGUGCUAAUGUUCCUCCUAUUUCACUGUUUUCUGCUGGAGCUUUAUAAAAUUUGAAAUUAUUUACGUUUAAUUUGAAUUUUGUAUGACAUUUUGUAUAACUAUUCAUCAAUUUUAUUGACA